rnacentral:rRNA from 1 species
AUUGAACGCUGGCGGCAUGCCUUACACAUGCAAGUCGAACGGUAACAGGUUAAGCUGACGAGUGGCGAACGGGUGAGUAAUAUAUCGGAACGUGCCUAGUCGUGGGGGAUAACGUAGCGAAAGCUACGCUAAUACCGCAUACGAUCUACGGAUGAAAGCGGGGGAUCGCAAGACCUCGCGCGAUUGGAGCGGCCGAUAUCAGAUUAGGUUGUUGGUGAGGUAAAGGCUCACCAAGCCUGCGAUCUGUAGCUGGUCUGAGAGGACGACCAGCCACACUGGAACUGAGACACGGUCCAGACUCCUACGGGAGGCAGCAGUGGGGAAUUUUGGGCAAUGGACGCAAGUCUGAUCCAGCAAUGCCGCGUGCAGGACGAAGGCCUUCGGGUUGUAAACUGCUUUUGUACGGAACGAAACGGCGAGCUCUAAUACAGUUUGCUAAUGACGGUACCGUAAGAAUAAGCACCGGCUAACUACGUGCCAGCAGCCGCGGUAA